rnacentral:rRNA from 1 species
GACGAACGCUGGCGGCGUGCUUAACACAUGCAAGUCGAACGGAAAGGCCCUGCGUUUGUGGGGUGCUCGAGUGGCGAACGCGUGUGUAACACGCGAGUAACCUGCCCCUGACUUUGGGAUAACUUCAGGAAACUGGGGCUCAUACCGGAUAGGAGCUCCUGAUGCGUGGUGGGGGUUGGAAAGAUACGGCGGUUGGGGAUGGACUCGCGGCUUAUGAGCUUGUUGGUCGGGUAGUGGCUUACCAAGGCUUUGACGGGUAGGCGGCCUGGGAGGGUGACCGGCCACAUUGGGACUGAGGUACGGCCCAGACUCCUACGGGAGGCAGCAGUGGGGAAUAUUGCACAAUGGGCCGAAGCCUGAGGCAGCAGCGCUGGGUGCGGGAUGACGGCCUUCGGGUUGUAAACCGCUUUCGCCUUUGACGAAGCGUGCGUGACGGUAAUGGGUAAAGAAGCCCCGGCUAACUACGUG